AAUUAGCCGGACGUGGUGGUACGUGCCUGUAGUCCCAGCUACUUGGGAGGCUGAGGCAGGAGAAUGGCAUGAACCCAGGAGGCAGAGCUUGCAGUGAGCUGAGAUCAUGCCACUGCACUCCAGCCUGGGUGACAGAGUGAGACUCUGUCUCAAAAAACAAAAACAAAAAUUAAAAAAAAUUAAUUCCCCCCCCCAAAAUUUUUUUGAAUCCCUGAAACAAAUAAACGUGUUUAUCAAGUAGAUAGCACAUCAGUGAGUGUAUUCAUUAUUUAUCCUUUUUUAAAAUUUUAAAAAAUGUUUGUCUUACUCUUCUUACUAUCAUUCCCAAUUCAGUGAGUAUAUUCCAAGGACAAAAAGAAAGGAAUACAAAGAAAUCCUCAACUACAUUUAAUAAUUUUCUUAGCAGUAAUAUUGGCAUUUUUAUUUUACACACAUAUUUAAAAUAAAUAUAUUAAUAUUCUCAGGAACCAAAGCUUAUAGCAUAAAAGAAAUUAAAUAAAAACCUACAAUAUUAAAUUUGAAUUGGAAAUGUCAUUAUGAACUAAUGACAUAUUUUUUUUGAAAAAAAAAAAAAAAAGCAUAUUUCCUACUUCGGUCCACUGGAAAGACCUAACAGCAAUGACAGUCCAGUAGCAAUUAACAUCUCAUCUCAGACUAUGAACUUUUUACCAUUUUCUAUUCUAAGGAGCCAGGGCUCCUUAGAGAAAUAGCUGAUGUCAAGUCUCGGGCAGGAAAUGUACAAGGAGAGUCUAGGACAUCUUUUUACACCAGAGAGCAAAGAAACCAAGAAGAUUAUGUCAAAAGGAUAUAGGAGCCAACUGGAAGGGGCUCCCGCUGGCCAAAGAUGGGUCAAGUUUGAGCAUCAAAAAUAGAAAUACUAACCAAAACAAUGGAUUGAAACAUUCAAAUAUAUAAAUAUGAGUUCAUUAUAUUAAAACAUAUUAAUUGGUCAUGUGUGAUCUCUGGACCAGAAGCAUCAGAAUCACCUAGUAACUUGUUAGAUGUGCACAUCAGGGGCCCUAUCCUCAGUUAUUGAAUCACAAGGUAGAGCCCAUCAAUCUGUGUUUUAAUAAGUUUCCAGGUGAUUCUAAAGCAUACUGAAGUUUGAGAACCACUGCUCUGGAUAUAAUUGCCAGUUUACAUGAAAUACAAGGGUAAAGAAACAUGUUAGAUGAUACCACCAAGGCUGUAAUUAGCCAGAAUCACGUGGGCAAGGCUACAGAAUUAAUGACCUUUACUAAUAAAUCAGUAGGAUUGGGGUGGAUUGUGUAUUUUUAGCUGCUGGCCUUCUCAAACUAAGUGGAUAUAGGAGCUUGAGGGUCUCACCAUUUGGAAUGCAGAUUUUUACUUAGCCAUCUUCCACUAUCCCCAUUUACAGUGUGGCACUUCAACCUAGCCCUCUUCUUGGUCCCUACAUCUAAGCCUGUCUUUAUAUAUAUAUAUAUCUAGGGUGGAUUGCUUUUUUUCUCACCAGUAUCCCUGUUUGCAAACAUUUAGGAUUGUUCCUUUUCUACUCUGCUGAAUUAUUUGUUGUUCUAUUUAUUUCCAUCUUUUUAUGUUGUCAUUUGCUAUUUUAGAUGACACUCUGUUUAUCAAAAAGGGCUUUGAGUUUUUCUAAUCUUGGUAUCUCUUUUACUUAAGGGGUAAGCUAGUGUGAUCUGUGGAAGACUUAUUUGGGAAGUGUUUCCUCUCUCUCCAGUACAGUCUGCAUCUGCCUCCAUAACCUCCUUCAAACUUCUCUCUCAAGGUCACCAAAUACCUCUUUAAUGCUAAGUCCGUUGAAUAUGUCUCAAUUCUAACCCCACCUGCAUUUCAUAGAGUGAACUGCCUCCCGUAUUGAAUUUCCUUCCCCUUGUGGCUUCUUAGUUUUGUGUUCCCUUCAAACCAGGAUCUGAGACAAGGAUUUGGAUACAAGUAACUUAUUUGCAAGGCCACUUCUAAAAGCAUUAGAGUUGAACAGUAAGAAAGGGAAAAAAAGAAAGUCACUAAAAGGUGCCUUAAUAAGUUGGUUAAAUGCUGUGGGCAAACGAGCUCAGUUUUGCCAGCAGCCCUCUGAGAGACUGCGGAACACAUCACAGAGUUGUUCCAUUGAAGAGCAAGGAAGCUGGGGUAUUUAUCCACCAAUUUCUCACUAAGGCUCACUCCUGGGGAGUGUUAAUAACUCCCUGGUAUUUUCAUCCUGCCCAUUAUAUAAGGUGAAUAUGGUCCUCAGACCAAGAACUGCAGAAGUUUGAAGUAAGAAACAAGCUUCAUCUAAAUAAGCUGUUUAGAAAGCUACAGAGUAAGCUGAGAGAAUAUGGAUGAGGCAUCAAUAUUUACUACUUUUACCAAUGCCAUUUUUAUUAUCCCCUCACUUUCUAGACCAUUCUUUCUCAACACGUUGUUGGUUCCUGUUUUUCCCUUACCUCUUAAAUUUUGGUGGUCCACAUGAAGUAUCUGUUCUUGACCUUUGGCUCUUCUUCUCUACCAUUUCUCUGGACAAUCUCAUCCUUGUCUUGGCUUCAGCCACUACAUAUACUUCCAGAUUUCCAGCACUGGCCUCUCUCUUGAGCUAGACCCAUGGAGUCAUUUAUUCAUUCAACAAAUUAUUUUUCAACACUUACAUAAUAUGCUAAACUUGAUGCUGGGAAUGUUAACAGUGAACUAUACAUAUUCCUGGCCCUUGGAGUUUAUAUUCUAGUCAAGCCAUAUAAACAAAUACAUAAAUAAUAAAGAUUAUGAAAUACGAUAAGUGCUACAAAGUAAACUGGGUGUUGUUCUUAUGUCUGGUUGGAAAAAUCACUUUACAUAGAUUAGCCAGGGAAGUUCUCUUUAAGUUAUUGGUCUUCCCUGAAGUAUAAGAUUUAGCUAGCCAUGUGAAGAACUGAAAGAAAAAGACUUUCCGGCAGAGAGCUAAAAGAGGCCAAGUGAAAUGCAGUGUGUUUAAAGAACAAAGAAGCUAGUGAGGUUGAAGUAUAAUAAAGCAGAAAAUGACAUGAAAUGAGAUUGGAGAGGUCGGCAGCAAUUGGGUCAUUUGGAGCCUUGUUGUGUUCUUCAGAAGCAGACAUUGAGAUAAAAGGUAUUUAUUAGGCAUCCUUAUGAAAGGAAGAGGAAGAAAAUAGGAAUGGACAGAGGACAAAGUCGAAAUGUGAUGUAGGCCCAACAAAGCUUCAGCCAAUUUAGUAGGAAGCUCUGGAGCAAGUAUUGCCCAUCAGAGUCUUUGUACAUCUGGUUGAAAUGGCUGGGCCUUUAUGGCCCUGCCUGCCUGCCUUAUUCAGUUACUGGAUGUGGGCUGCUCUGGAAAACCAUUAGAAAGGUGGCUACAAGCUGUGGCACAUGCUAAAAUUGUUGACAGCUGCAGACUGUAUGCUCACAGCAUUCACUGCAGCUGGGAAGCAAGUCCUUCCUUGAAGAAGGGCUUAUCCAAAUAUCUCCAUAUUUGCCACAGGCAAGUUUGGAUUUUGUUGCAAGGACCCAUUUAAAGGGUUGUUAGUGAGAAGUGGCAUGAAAGGUCACUCUGAUUUCUAUGUGGACAUUAGAUCAUAGAGGACCAAGGAGACUUAUUAGGAGGCAAUAAUAGUCCAAGCAAGAAAUGCUAUUGGCCAUAGAGAUAAAGAGAAAUGCACAAUUCAAGAUAAAUUUUGAAGGAACAAUUGAUAAAAUUUAGUGCUAGGUAAAUGUUGGAGGUAAAGAAAAAUAGGAAUCAUUUUAGUAAAUGUAUACAGUUGCGUAAGGGAAGGUGAUUUAGCUGCUGCUGGCUAAAGUGCUUCUUCCCACCAUGAGGACAUCCCAGUAACAGCCUCCUCCCCCCCAGAUUGAGACAGGGUCUCACUCUGUUGCCCAGGCUGGAGUGCAGUGGUGUGAUCUUGGCUCACUGCAGCUUUGACCUCCUGGGCUCAAGUGAUCCUCCCACUUCAGCCUCCCGAGUAGCUGGGACCACAGCUGCAUGCCACCAGGCCUGGCUAAUUUUUGUAUUUUUUUUUCUUUCUUUUUUUUUUUUUUUUUUUUUUUGUAGCAACAGGGUUUCACCAUGUUGUCCAGGCUGGUCAUGAACUCCUGGACUCAAGAAAUCCACCCACCUCAGCCUCCCAACGUGCUAGGAUUACAGGCGUGAGCCACCACGUACGGCUAGAAUCUUACUUUUAAGUUUUGUUAGGGUAGAUCUAGAGCAGUGCAGUCCAAUCCAAAUUUUUGCAAUGAUGGAAAUGUUUUAUAACUGUACUUUCCAAUAUAGUGGCCAUUAGUCAUAUUUGGCUAUGAAAUACUUGAAAUGUGGCUAGUAUAAUUCAGUAACUGAAUUUUUAUUUAAUUUAAAUGGUAUGUGGCUAGUGCCUACUGUAUUGUACAGCAUAGGUCUCCAAUAAGCUGUACUCUCAUGCCAGUUUAGUCCUACACCUAAGGAGUGACCCUUCCGGGAUCUUUACAAUGUCUCAGGUGUUCAACGAGCUCUCCCUGGCUGGUUAGAACUUGACUUUUUCCUAGUCCAGUGCAAGCUCCAGCAAUUUUCAGCCUAUAGUUCCCCAGUAUUCUUUAGUGAGAAGUUGUCCUUCCUGCUUUAUGGAGUUUCACCCCGCACAUGGACAGCUUAAUAUUCAGCUGAACACUCAAGUGGAUUACUAUGCAGAUUUCUAAAACUUACUCCACCCUCACUUGGAGCAACCAUACAGAACUCGCUUACUGUGGUGAUUAAACUACUCAUGGGGAAUUGCUGUGUGUUGUGAAAAUUACAAGAAUAUUUAUAAAUAUUGUUCUUUCCUGCACAUAUUUGCUUUGAGGGAGAAGUUUCAUUAGAUGGGCCCUUCUUCACAUCUAAAACUAAGUCUGUAACACUAAAACCACAAAAAACUUUUCCCCCUUUAAGUACAAACUAUUAUUUUAAAUGUUACUUUAAUAUCAGAGCUUACCUCUUUAAAGGACUAUACAAUCAAUAUUACUUGAAAUUCACUUGAGAAACAGAAAGGUGAUAUCAUACAUUUAGAUAUCCAGAUGUUGCCCUUUAAGUGACAUUUUUUAAAAGUUUUGAAAUUUUAAAAAUACUUGACAGAACUUUUUUUUUUGGUCAGUGUUGUCAGAUAUUAGUUACAUUAACAUUCUAAUUUCACAUUACAAAUAACAUAUUCUUAAAAAUUAGAUAAUACAGGUAAGCAAAAAGAACAUUAAAAAAUUUCACACAUUUAGAAAUGCAUUGUAAAAUCAGAAGGAAUGGACCAGGCGUGGUGGCUCAUGCCUGUAAUCCCAGCACUUUGGGAGGCUGAGGCGGGCAGAUCACCUGAGGUCAGGAGUUCGAGACCAGCCUGACCAACAUGGAGAAACCCCGUUUCUACUAAAAAUACAAAAUUAGCUGGGUGUGGUGGCACAUGCCUGUAAUCCCAGCUACUCGGGAGGCUGAGGCAGGAGAAUCACUUGAACCUGGAAGGUGGAGAUUGCGGUGAGCCGAGGUUGCGGUGAGCCGAGGUUGCGGUAAGCCGAGAUCACACCAUUGUACUCCAGCCUGGGCAACAAGAGCAAAACUCCGUCUCAAAAAAACAAAAAAAACAAAACAAACAACAACAACAACAAAACACAGAAGGAAUGAAUAAAGACCAAAGAUGUAAUGACUGUAUUGCAUUUAUUUUUAAGAUACGUAUCUUUUCAAAUAUUAAUAUCUCUGAAACUAUGUGUGGAAUUUGCCUUUCUUAAUGCUAUAGUGAUGCUUCUUAAAUGUGAUGAUCUUUUAUUCAAGGAAAUACAGUAACAAAGGAUUGAUUGUAAUUUUGGGUAUAGAUCCUCCUAGAUAGAAUUCUGAGGAACAGAACUGCAUUGUACAAUCUGUUUGCACAGAUUUGAGAAAGUAUUUCCAAUAGCAAAGAACCUCUCUGCAACAGUGUCUAGGGCAUGGCAAACCCUGAUUCCAUUCCUAUCCUCCUCCUUUCCUGCCAUACCACUCCAGAAGAGAAAGGGAAAUAUUAAUAGAUGAGGCUUGGUUCUGGUACUACAGAGGGUGACGUUAGUAUUCACACAUCUGAACGGCAAAGAAAAAAAAAAAAGGGUAGUCAGAGCACUUCUUUCUCACCAGUGGAAAAGUACAGUCACUGAGUUUUAGGGCAGAAAUCAGUGUUAAGCUUAGGAAAUCUUUCAUAGAAUGUCUCAGGCUUCUGUGUAAUAUUUCACAUUUGUUUGUUUCAUUUUUUGGGUAGUAAAUAUUUCUACUGUGGGGUGCUUCAUGUCUAUUAUAGCAUAAAAUCAGGACAGAACUGUUUAUGUAACAUUAGUAUGUAAUCAUACAGCUUUUUCAAACUUAUAUACAUACCUGUAUAUUAUUUAAAUGCAAAGUUAUGUAUGUAUAUAUUUAUAUGUAUAUAAUGUAUUUUAUUUUUAUUGGCUAUUUUUAUAAAAACUUUUUUUAACUAGAAAUUUAAUAAUUUCUUCCAUUUAUAUAUACAUGCAGGAAAUACUAAAGAAUGAAAAACACAGAGAAGAAAUCAAAAUAAAAAGCCAAGAUUUUUAUGAAAAAGAAAAACUCCUUAGUAAAGAGACCAGUGAGUUUUUGUACUUUUAAUAGAGACGGAGUUUCAUGACCCCAUUCGAGACCAUGUUGGCCAGGCUGGUCUCAAACUCCUGACCUCAGGUAAUCCAGCCGCCUCAGCCUCCCAAAGUGCUUGGAUUACAGGCAUGAGCCACCACGCCCUGCGGCAAAAUUUUUUUUUAAUUAGCUGGGCAUGAUGGUGUGUACCUGCAGUCCCAGCUACUUGGGAGGUUGAGGUGGGAGGAUCACUUGAGCCCAGGAUUUCAAGGCUGCAGUGAACUAUCAUCAGGCCACUGUACUCCAGCCUGGUGACAGAGCAUGACUCUGUCUCUUAAAAAAAAAAAAAAAAAAAAAAAGGAGAUACAAUUUGUGAUAUAGUUGGGACUGUGAAUUGAGAUUAAGAUGUUCUUAACUCCUAGACUGGAUUGUAGAGAAAACUGUAAAUGUUUUAACACACUAGUGUUUCUACUGCCAAAUUCCUGUUAUCUCAUUAAUUGCAUUCCAUAUACACCUUUUGCAAAUGUUUACCAUAUAGUCUGUGUUUCCCAAACUUUGGGUAUUUGACCAUGUGAUCCCUUUUAAUAUGUUUGAGAAAUGCAGAAUUUGUCCUUAAAUAUUUAUUCCAGAUAUGAAGUAAAGUAGCAUGAUUCUAUAACCAGUAGCAAAUAUAAAAGCAAUCAUUCCUAAAUAGGAUCAAAUUGCCUCCAACUUAGAACCAUAUAAAAUAUAAGGUCUAUUUCAACAUUAGGUUUCCAGCCCACAGCUUCCUGUGCUUUUUUUUUUUGAGACAGAGCCUCGCUCUGUCGCCAGGCUGGAGUGCAGUAGCAUGAUCUUGGCUCACUGCAACCUCUACCUCCUGGGUUCAAGCAAUUCUUCUGCCUCAGCCUCCCCAGUAACUGGGAUUACAGGUGCACGCCACCACACCCAGCUGAUUUUUGUAUUUUUAGUAGAGAUAGGGUUUCAUCAUGUUGGCCAGGGUGGUCUUGAACUCCUGACCUUGUGAUCUGCCCGCCUUGGCCUCCCAAAGUGAUGGGAUUACAGACAUGAGCCACCGCACCCGGCCUCCUGUGCUUAUUUCUAGUUUGCUUAUUAUAAACAAGUAAAAUUUAAAAUGUCCUUAUAUAUCUGAUAACUAGUAAUAUGCUGAAAGUUAUCAUGGAUACUAUGGCUCAAGUUCUGACAUACAAACUUUUAUUUAUUUGCUGAUUUUUGAUAAAAUGUUUGUUAGAGGCAGCCAGGGGACAGCUUUCUUUCUCCCCCAAGACCAGCUUUAGAAUGGUAAUUGAUUGUACUUAGUUCUCAGAACUUCAGAAACAAUGUAAUAAGUAAACAAUUUCUUAAAAGUAUUCUAGAUAAUAGCAAAUGGGAUUCUUUAACAACAGUACUCUGUUGCAGUGAGAGGUGAUUUUUCUGAAGAAUCCCAAACCUCACAAUAUUCUCUAUACUCCAGCCCCUUACACACACACACACACACACAUACACACACACAGUAAAGUAUGAAUCUCACAUAUAUAGAAAGGCUCUCUAAAUGAUGGAAAAAAGUGGGAAAAAAAAGCAUAUGUCAAACAAAUACAAAAUUGGCAUGUGUUAAGACUAAUAAAUUAUAGAAAAACAGACCUUUAAAUACCUUUAAGUUGUUACAACAGAAUUGAUGAAACCAUAACUUUAGUAGGUAACUGAGAAUUAUGACUAUAUCCUUUGCUUCAAUACUUUUACGCUAAAAUGUGACCCUAAGUAAAACAUGUACAUAAAUUCUUUCCAUGAACAGCUUGAUUGCAGAAAACCAAACAUAUUAUAGAUAUAUCUUAACACUGAAUAAUUUCAGUGCCUUGAGUUAUAAUGUGUUGCUCACACUGGCACCAAGUAGAGACUGAUAAUCUAAAAGAAUAGCAUUAAGUGUUAUUCAAACUGGUCCAUAAACAUUUCAGUGGUCCUUAGGUUCUGAGAGAUACAGUCCUGAAAUUUUACAAGUAUGCUUAGCUGUAACUGAAAUUCUAACUUGCAUAACAUAAUGUAACUUAAAAUGUUAGUUCCUCCAAAAAAAAAAAAAAAAAUCCAGGACCUCUUUAUAAAAAAUUAUCAAAUUUAUUUUAAUGUCUAGUUUCAUUUUUAACAUGACUGCUUUACCCAUUGCUUUAAAAUAAUAUUCACCCAGAACUAGUAUUUUUAAAGAUAAUUUAAGAUGUCCCCACCAGGCCAGUCUGGCAAGUACAGCUUCUUAAGACUAUAAGAGAUUAUGCCUCUAAUAUUUUUAUUGUUGAAGAGAUAAUACCCAGUAUGAUUUCUUUUCACUUAGACUUCCAAAUAUGGAAUAUUUUCUUGUUCUAAAUCAAAGUAUGAGAUGUCUUUUUUAAAAAUAAUGAAACCACCAUCACUGAUGGAGGGAUAGAUUGAUCGUUAGAUGUAACAUGAUAUGAGAAAGCCAGUGUAAUAUGUAAAACUUUGAUGGUAAAAUAUAGAUGAUGAGUAUGGAGAUGUUUACUAUAAAAUUCUUUCAACUUUGCUGUAUGCUUGAGUAAAUGAUAAAAGAGGCAUGCAUAGCGUGUUCUGGAAACACAGUGAAUGGAGGCUGGCUGGACUGGCUGUAAGUGCUGAGAAUGAGUUAGCUUAAGAAAAACAAGACUUGGGAAGAACUAUGAGUUAUGUGACUUCUGAUUUUCUAAUCUUUGUGUAGUAUUUUAUGGUUUUUUUUUUUUUUUUUUUGAGACACAGUCUCACUCUGUCGCCCAUUCCAGUUGUCAUUUGAAUCUGCCUUCUCAGCUACUAUCCUAGUCCUUGCCACCAGUUUCUCUGUGUCUUUACAACAGCUGAUCUCUCUGCCUCCAGCCUUCCCCUCCCCCAUCAAUUCUCUACACUCUUUGCUUUGACCCUUUCAAUGGCUCCUCUACCCUCAGGAUAAAUCCCAAGUUCCUUAACACGGUUACAAGACCCUUUAACAAUAUAUUGUUUAUAUGUUUCCACAUCAUUAAAGUUUCUUCUACAGUCUACUGCAUGAUUUAAAUGAUGGCUUGUUUUCCCAUCAUGUAUGUGGCCAACCUUUUAUGCUGCACAUUUUGGCUGUUCCCAGUUUCCCCUUUGUAGUAUUGACAGGCUUUUGGAGAAUAAUGAAACGCUGAAAUGUUUGGCUUGGUUUCCCUCUUGGGUAGAGUCUGCUGCUCAGUCUUUUCUUCUGCCUCUUUGUAUCCUUUAGCUUUUGGGUGGAGGCCCAGAGAGCUCCACAAGGGGUGAUGUGUGUUUAAGAAACUCAGCUAAAGAAACAAACUGAUUGCAAAGAACUCUGAACCUAGGGUGUUGGGGGAAAUGCUGAGCAUUGUAAUUGGCCUAAUGCUGCUCCCGUGAGAGAUGCCAUCUCCCUAGGCCUCCAAAGUUCUGGCAGGGAUUUUAACUCUUCUCAUCCAGCUGAUGACAGACAAAUAUUCAUCACUUCAACAGUUAGGUGCAACCCCCAAAAUGUUUCCUCAAGUCCUUCCUCACUGCAAAUGCCUACCAGCUCAUCUCUGAAGAUGGAAAAGCAAGCGCGGUGACAUCUGCAAAUCCGGACAGUGGGCUUUAGGAUUCAUCUGAAAAGAAAGGCUCUUGGACAGUGCUGGACCUUGCUCCCUGAGCCAGGCUGUGGGUCCAGUGGUGACUCAGGAAGGAAUGCCACUGACAAGCCACAGGCAUGCCAGAGAAUUA
rnacentral:lncRNA from 1 species